GUCGCAAGACCAAAGUGGGGGACCUUCGGGCCUCAUGCCAUCAGAUGUGCCCAGAUGGGAUUAGCUAGUAGGUGGGGUAACGGCUCACCUAGGCGACGAUCCCUAGCUGGUCUGAGAGGAUGACCAGCCACACUGGAACUGAGACACGGUCCAGACUCCUACGGGAGGCAGCAGUGGGGAAUAUUGCACAAUGGGCGCAAGCCUGAUGCAGCCAUGCCGCGUGUGUGAAGAAGGCCUUCGGGUUGUAAAGCACUUUCAGCGGGGAGGAAGGCGUUAAGGUUAAUAACCUUGGCGAUUGACGUUACCCGCAGAAGAAGCACCGGCUAACUCCGUGCCAGCAGCCGCGGUAAUACGGAGGGUGCAAGCGUUAAUCGGAAUUACUGGGCGUAAAGCGCACGCAGGCGGUCUGUCAAGUCGGAUGUGAAAUCCCCGGGCU
rnacentral:rRNA from 1 species